GCCUUUGCAUCCGGCGCACCCAAUGCCUAUAUCUGAUCUGUCCUUCGGGACUAUGGACAUAAACGCGCUCGUAAUAAGCGGAUCGGACCCGGGGGCGGUACCCGGCGGCUCCACCAACAGCCCUGUCGUUUGCAGGCAGAGGGGGCCGAAACAGGAUCGACGAACGUCUAAAGGGGUUAGCUUUGUCUCGGCUGGGUGCCACCGUUAUCGGCCUAAAUUGUACAGUUGCAAACGACAACCGUGCUCCGGUGGCCGUUGCUGCGUAAGCAGUAACAACACCGAAACUUAAGUCCUUGCGCCUAGCAGCGUAAGGCGGGGUUCGCAGGCACCUGGCAACAGAAGCCUGCACA
rnacentral:tmRNA from 17 species